rnacentral:rRNA from 2 species
AGACCCGAAACCCGGUGAUCUAGCCAUGGGCAGGUUGAAGGUUGGGUAACACUAACUGGAGGACCGAACCGACUAAUGUUGAAAAAUUAGCGGAUGACCUGUGGCUGGGGGUGAAAGGCCAAUCAAACCGGGAGAUAGCUGGUUCUCCCCGAAAGCUAUUUAGGUAGCGCCUCGUGAAUUCAUCUCCGGGGGUAGAGCACUGUUUCGGCUAGGGGGCCAUCCCGGCUUACCAACCCGAUGCAAACUGCGAAUACCGGAGAAUGUUAUCACGGGAGACACACGGCGGGUGCUAACGUCCGUCGUGAAGAGGGAAACAACCCAGACCGCCAGCUAAGGUCCCAAAGUCAUAGUUAAGUGGGAAACGAUGUGGGAAGGCCCAGACAGCCAGGAUGUUGGCUUAGAAGCAGCCAUCAUUUAAAGAAAGCGUAAUAGCUCACUGGUCGAGUCGGCCUGCGCGGAAGAUGUAACGGGGCUAAACUAUGCACCGAAGCUGCGGCAGCGACACUAUGUGUUGUUGGGUAGGGGAGCGUUCUGUAAGCCUGUGAAGGUGUGUCGUGAGGCAUGCUGGAGGUAUCAGAAGUGCGAAUGCUGACAUAAGUAACGAUAAAGCGGGUGAAAAGCCCGCUCGCCGGAAGACCAAGGGUUCCUGUCCAACGUUAAUCGGGGCAGGGUGAGUCGACCCCUAAGGCGAGGCCGAAAGGCGUAGUCGAUGGGAAACGGGUUAAUAUUCCCGUACUUGGUGUUACUGCGAAGGGGGGACGGAGAAGGCUAUGUUGGCCGGGCGACGGUUGUCCCGGUUUAAGCGUGUAGGUGUGUGUUCCAGGUAAAUCCGGUUCACUUUAACACUGAGGCGUGAUGACGAGGCACUACGGUGCUGAAGCAACAAAUGCCCUGCUUCCAGGAAAAGCCUCUAAGCAUCAGGUAACAUCAAAUCGUACCCCAAACCGACACAGGUGGUCAGGUAGAGAAUACCAAGGCGCUUGAGAGAACUCGGGUGAAGGAACUAGGCAAAAUGGUGCCGUAACUUCGGGAGAAGGCACGCUGACACGUAGGUGAAGUGAUUUACUCAUGGAGCUGAAGUCAGUCGAAGAUACCAGCUGGCUGCAACUGUUUAUUAAAAACACAGCACUGUGCAAACACGAAAGUGGACGUAUACGGUGUGACGCCUGCCCGGUGCCGGAAGGUUAAUUGAUGGGGUCAGCGCAAGCGAAGCUCCUGAUCGAAGCCCCGGUAAACGGCGGCCGUAACUAUAACGGUCCUAAGGUAGCGAAAUUCCUUGUCGGGUAAGUUCCGACCUGCACGAAUGGCGUAAUGAUGGCCAGGCUGUCUCCACCCGAGACUCAGUGAAAUUGAACUCGCUGUGAAGAUGCAGUGUACCCGCGGCAAGACGGAAAGACCCCGUGAACCUUUACUAUAGCUUGACACUGAACAUUGAGCCUUGAUGUGUAG